rnacentral:ncRNA from 2 species
AAUAUAAUUUUAUAAUCAACUCGUAUAAUAGCAGGAAUAUGGCCUGCGAGUAUCUACCGACCACCCUAAAUGGAUCGACUACGAGUGAAUUUUAGAUACUU